UACGGGGGAGCAAGCGUUGUUCGGAUUUACUGGCGUAAAGGGCGCGUAGGCGGCCACUGCAAGUCGGUUGUGAAAUCUCCGGGCUUAACCCGGAAAGGUCAAUCGAUACUGCAGGGCUAGAGUGCGGAAGGGGCAACUGGAAUUCUCGGUGUAGCGGUGAAAUGCGUAGAUAUCGAGAGGAACACCUGCGGCGAAGGCGGGUUGCUGGGCCGACACUGACGCUGACAGCGCGAAAGCUAGGGGAGCGAACGGG
rnacentral:rRNA from 1 species